rnacentral:lncRNA from 1 species
CUUUUAAUUUGUGGCUUCAAGGUUCUUGGCUGGACACAUGGUUGUAUUUUUGGAGUGUAGGCUUGAGGUCUGAUGGGGUUAGGUUCGUGGUUAGGUUUUUAGGUGUGGGCUUGAGGCCUGAUGAGGCUAGUUUUGGAAGGUUUUUGGCUUAACAAGUGAUUGGGUUUUUGGGGCGUAGGCUUAAGCUCUGAUAAAGUUGAGUUCGUGGUUAGGAUUUUGGGAUGUGGGCUUAAGGUUUGAUGGGGCUGGGUUUGGACUAGAAUUUUUUUCUCUAUUUUAGAUUGUUCUUUGACUUUGUGUGGGACACGUGACCUAUUGAAUUUGUUAAGCGUCACAUGUUUCCAAAUUCUUCUUCAUUUUUUGCCUCUUUCUUUUCUACCAUUAGCUUGAGUAUUUUAUCUAAAGUUAUAUUUUGUCAUUAGGCGUGCGUUUUUGUAUCGAAGCACCAUUACAAAUACCACUAUGAUAGCUACAAUAAUAACAAUUAUAUAUUUUGUACAUGUCAAUGUACACCAACA